rnacentral:rRNA from 1 species
UAAGCUGUCUCAUUGCUCAUGGCAAAGAGAUGGAAUUCCAGGGAAAAACUUUAUUUAAACUAAUAAUUAAAGUUUUUUUAAUUUGUGCAGAAACAAUUAUUAUAAUUAAGGACAAGAAGACCCCUCAUGAAUUUAUAAACUUAUUUUUUUAUCAAUAAAAUUUAUUAAGUAUUUCAAGAUGGGGCGAGAAGAAUAAUAUAAACUAUUUUUCAUUAUAAUAAUCCCCUCAUUCAAUAAUUAUUUAUAAAAUAAACACGCAGGGAGAAGCCAUCUAUAUCUUUUUAGAAAAAACAAAUUAACAAAUAAGCUUCCACCCACUUUGUUGGGUACAGUAUUCUUUAUUAAUACAGUAUUAAAAGAAGAGAGGUCUCCUCUACUAUAACUUCCCUAAAUUAGCUCAGUCCAGAACAGAAUACCAAAGCAAUUAAAAAGUUGAG